UUUCCUCCUAGUGGCCUCCCCUGCACAAGGCCACAUAAACCCAACCUUACAAUUUGCCAAGCAUCUUAUACGUAUUGGCGUACGUGUAACUUUCAUCACCUGCAUCUCCGCUCGCAGCCGCAUGACCAAAGUCCCCACUGCUCAAGGCCUAACGUUUUUACCCUUUUCCGAUGGCUACGACGACGGUUUUCAACUCCGCGAUGACAUCGACCAUUACCUAUCUGAAUUGAGGCGACGAGGCAAAGAAGCUAUCUCCGAGUUUUUAACAAGCAGUGAAAACGAAGGCAAACCCGUCACUUGCAUUGUCUACAGCCUGUUCAACCAUUGGGCCACGGAGGUGGCGCGUAAACAUCACAUCCCGACAACUUUACUUUGGAUUCAACCCGCCACCGUUUUUGACAUCUAUUAUUUUUACUUCAACGGAUACGAAUCCACCAUUAAAGCUCAAGCUGAUGAAACAAACCCCAAGCGUUCAAUAAAAUUACCAGGUCUGCCGCUACUCGCUACCCGCGACCUUCCGUCGUUCGUAACCGCUUCAAACGUUUACCGUUGGGGACCGUCGUUGAUCCAAGAACAAAUGGACAUCCUCGCUGAUGAAUCCAACCCCAAAAUCCUUGUUAACACCUUCGAUGCUUUGGAACAAGAAGCAUUAAACGCCAUUGAAAAUUUCAACAUGAUCGGCAUCGGACCUUUAAUCCCAUCUUCUUUCUUGAACUCAAGUGACUCCUUGGAUAAUUCCUUGAGAACCGAUCUUUUUCAACCCGAUUCAAAAGAUUACCUCCAAUGGUUAGACUCCAAACCAAAAUCGGCUGUCGUUUACGUUUCCUUCGGGAGCAUUACGGUGUUAACGAAGCAACAAGUGGAGGAAAUCGCUCGAGCUUUAAUAUCCAGCCGGCGACCUUUUUUAUGGGUGGUGAGGAACCGGAAAGAUGGAGGCGAAGAAGAGAAAGAAGAAGAUAAACUGACUUGCAGGGAAGAAUUGGAACAGGUUGGGAUGGUGGUUCCAUGGUGUUCGCAAGUGGAAGUAUUGUCUCAUCCGUCGUUGGGUUGCUUCGUGACGCAUUGUGGGUGGAACUCGACGUUGGAGAGCAUGGUGGCCGGUGUACCGGUGGUGGCUUUCCCUCAAUGGACGGAUCAAGGGACUAAUGCGAAGCUGAUUGAAGAUGUGUGGGGGAAUGGAGUGAGAGUGAGUGCUAAUGAAGAAGGGAUGCUGGAACGUGAUGAGAUCGUUAGGUGCUUGGAUUUGGUGAUGGGGGAUGAUGAGAAAGGGAUGGAAGUGAAGAAAAAUGUAGAGAAAUGGAAAGGGUUAGCCAGGGAAGCCUCCAUGGAAGGCGGCUCCAUGGAUAUGAAGCUUAAAGCUUUUGUGGAUGAUGUUGCUCAAGGUGGUUGUAACUAAAUUUAUCAUUUUCAAAUAAAUUUACUGUUAUAAUAGCAGCUAUAAAGAUUGUAACUUCUUUAAUUUCUAAGUUUAUUUCUUUUUCCUUUCCAUCAUCUUUUAAAAAAUAUAUGUAAGAUUGAAAUGCCCAAACAAAAACUCCUGUUUUAAGGACCCAAGAAGAGCUGGUCUGUUUAGGCUGUGUUAUUUAUUACUAAGAUGAGUUUUUGCAUGUAAAAGUAUUUUUUUCUCAAAAAUAAUAAAGAUUAGACAUUAUUCCAGAAAAAUUUUUAACUUAAAAAAAGUACCUUUUGGCUGAUGGAUAAAUUAAAAAUUUUAACUUUUCUACCUGCUUUUAGCUUCUAUUUAUAUUUUUAACCUUUUUUUUCUCCCAAAACUUUUAGUAUUUAUAUUUGAUAUACAAAUAUUAUUCCUUUUUAAAUCUUUAAUCUAAAUAUAUGUAAUAUUUUAAUUUGUUAGGUUUAUAUUUUCUAUGUUAUCUUAAUAUCUAAUAAGAGUUAUAUAUUAAAAUACAUUUUAAAAUAAAAUAAUACAAAUGUGUUAAAAGCAUUAAUUAAAAAUAAAAAAUAAUUUUUAAAAUAAUACAAUUGUGUCAAUAUCUAAUUACAAAUAUUUAAUUAUUAUAUUUAAAUAUUUAAAUAUAGUUUAUAUAUUCUAAUUAAAUUUAAUAAAUAAUUAAUAUUAAUUACUUAGAAAAAUUUAAAAUUAAUAUUAUAUAUUAAAAUAUUAACAAUAAGUUAUAAUAAUUUAUUUUUAUAAUUUUGCUAAAAUAUCAUAAUAUUAACUAAUUUGAACAUUAUUUAAAUACAUAUUUGUUACUUUAUAAUAUCAUGUCUAAAAUGGACAUUUUAUUUCUCAAAAGCACUUUUUGACAGCAAUAUCAAACACUCAAAUUUUAAAAAAGUAUUUUUCAAAAGUACUUUUCCACAACACUUUUCAAAAGCAAUGAAGAACUGGCCCUUAGUUUUUGAGCCCCAUCUAUCUAUCUCAAUCUCAAUCAAUGCUUUCCUUUCUUGCCUCAAGCACUCACUCGUUUCAUGUCCUAUCCUCGUCUUCCCUUUCUUAACUUUAUGAUCUCAAAAAAAAAAACCCAAAGUUUGAAUUUCGUCUAUGAACUUCCUAAGCAGAAUCAGGAUAUCUGAUUAAACAUGGAUGCUUCCAUUAUCAUAUGGAUUAAGGGUGCCAGUCGGUCUUAUUAUGCCCCUAAUCCAACUUUCACCAUUCGAUAUAUGAUUAUAACCUAUACAACAACAGUCAAAUGUGUUGUUGUCGUACCUCUGUCCCUUCAAAAUUAUCUUUAUUUGCUAUUCAUGUCUUCAUUUGAAUUGAUUUGUUUAUGGUUAUACAUUGCCGAAUUUGAUUUGUAUAUGGAUAUACAUUGCUGAAUUAAUUUAUAUAUGGUUAUACAUUACCAAAUUUGAUUUGUAUAUAUAUACAUUGACAAAUUUGAUUCGUAUAUGGAUAUAUAUCACCGAAUUGAUUUGAGCUUUGGAUUACUAGUUUUGUGCAUGAAUUGAUUUAAUUACGAAGUCGAAAGCUCCGAAUGAACCUUAGUAAAUGUAUUGGAUAUUGAUGUCAUGAUAUUAGGACUUUCGAGGUGUGAUUUCGCGUAAGACCAUGUCUGGGAUAUUGGCAUCGAAGUAAGAAAACGUGUAAGACCAUGUCUGGGACAGUGGAAUUGAUAUGUGUUAACAUAUAAGACCAUAUCCGAGAUAUGGUAUUGUACGAGUUUUAUAUGAUUUUCGUAUGAUCUUAACUAUUUCGAAUGUGAAUUUGAGUUGAAUGAUUCAGGUAUGUGUGAAGUUAUAUGUUCAUGCAAUAUUAAGGUAAGUUUAGCACUUAAUGUGAUAAUUUGCAAUUAUAUGAGUUAGUUAAAUGUUUAUGUGUUUGAGAUUUAUUUGAAUUCGACCUAGUUGAAUUGAAUUAUAAAUAUCAUUGAGAUGAUUGAGUAAGAGGUUAGUACGAGAUGAUACAGGUACGUACAGAACCUAUUCGAGUAUUUAAUAGAGAAAUAUAAUGAAAUGGUAUUUGAUCAUGUUUUAAGACAUUGAGAAAGGUUUGUUGUAAUUGUAUAUAUGGUGAUGUUAUGUACAAUUAGUUGAAUUGUAUGUAUUUGAUGUAUUGAAUUAUUCAUUUACGAACUUACUAAGCUAUGAAGCUUACUUCGUGUUAUUUUCUUAUGUUUUAUAGAGAAUCAAGGCUAGCUCGGAUUCAAAAGUCGUCGGGAACAUCAUCGCGCUAUCGAACAUCUAAGUUGGUACUUUUGAAUUGUAUAUAUAUGAUAUAUGAGAUGUACAGGCUAGUGUUAUUUUGGUAUGUUUUGAGUUAUGAUAUUAGCCAUGAGAUUUGGCUUUUAAAGGUUGGUGUGUAUUUGACCAUAUGAAUUGGUUGUUUAAGUGUUGAGAAAAUGCAUAUUUGAACCUAAGAUGAAUUUAUGGUUAUAGUAAGUUAAAUUGACAUACUUUUGAGUUAAUUUGGUACUAAAAUUGAAAUGAAAUGAACGAAGUUUAUUAGUUAACUUUUAUAUAGUAUUAUGGAUGUUGUUGAUCAAUUUGAUAAGUAAAUGUUUUAGGCAUGAUUUAAAUAUGUUUAAAUGUGAAAAUGUGUUGGUUUCCAUAUUGAUUGUAAAUUGGUUGCAGUUUAAAUUACAGGGAAUGUUAGAUAUUUAUAAAGAAGUUAUAUUGAGUUCGCAAAAAAAAAAAAUCUCCGAGUUUCCGAAUUAGUCCCGAGUCAUUCUUAACUCGUAUUAUGGACCUUGAGGGUUUAUCUAAGGGACUUUAAGAUUAUUUUAUAUUAUAUUUGAUAAUUAUUUGUAUAUUAAUUGUAAAUUGUCCGAUAGGUCUAGUAAUGCUCCAUAAUCCUAUUCCGGUGACGAACAUGGGUUAGGGGUGUUAUAAUAAGCAAUUUUUGGUGAAAGUUAUAGUGAAAGUUAUCAUAUUGAUGGUUAGGUGUGAUUGACCACAGUGUUAUAAUUAUUAUAGUACAAAGAAAAGUUAACUGAGUUGAUUAGGGUGUGAGGUGAAUAAAUUAAUUCUUCGAAAUUUUAAUAGCAAGAACGGAAGAAUAUUUAAAAAAAAUUAAUUUGUUAUUUGAUUUAACAUAUAGAGACUAAUUUAUCUAUUUUUUAGUAUAGCUAGAGAAUAAAAUGCAAUCUGACAUCUAAUACAAUGACCUCAAUAAUACUUUUACCUACAGUUGAUAAAUUUAUAACUAUAAUCGUAAAUUUUCAGUUUUGGUUCUUCUAUUAUGGUUACGUUUAAGAUUUAAUUUUUUAAAGUAAGAUUUAAUCUUUAUAAUUAAAUUUGGCAUAAUUUGAUUGUCUAUUUUUACAAUGAUAUUAGGUAGUCGAAAUAAUUAACAUAUUUUUUAACUAUUCUAAUUAAUUUUUUAAUUUUUUUAAAAAAUACUAUUCUAUAAAAAAAUUACUUUUACAUAAUGAAUCGGAAUAAAUGUUAUUAAAAAUAUUCACAUCAACUACUAAAAAUAUUAAGGGUGCUAAUUAUUUGGGUUAACUAAUGAUACGACCUUUUUUUCCCGACAUUAUAAGAUAAUGAUAAAAUUAUAGUUUUUAUCUCUCUAUUCUGCUCACAUUUGAGAUUUAAUAUUUAUAUUUUAAUUUGACAUCGUUUGAUCCUCUACUUUUAUAAUGACAUUAGUUAUCCUAAAUAAUUAAUAUUUUAACUAUAUCGAUUAAAAUGAUUACAUGAAUUUCUCUUAAAAACACAUUUCAAUACAAUAUAUAUAUUUCUACAAGAAGUUCGAAUGGGUAUUUUUAAGGAAAAAAUUGAUCUCAACAUUUUGACCACAAUAAUUAAAGGUAUCAACUAUUUCGACUAAUUAAUAGUAUUAUGUAGAGGGACCAAAUUAUAUAAAAUUAAAGAAUAGAUAUUAAAUUCUAUAUUUAAACAUAGUAGAGACCAUAACCAUAAUUUAAUCUAAAACAAAUUAUCUCUAACAUAAUAUAAAUAUAUUAACUAUAAAAAAUUUAAAAUUUAUUCGACCCCUAAAAAAUUAUUCUAACUUGCCUGCUACAAUUUUUAAACCUUACAUAAGAUUAUUUUCUUAAAUAGUGCAUAUUAUAAUAUAUAUGUACGACGUAUAUAUAUUUGGUUUUGCAAUUGUUUUUAACUUGGGCUUUUAAUUUGUCACAAAUAAAAUUUUUGACUUUAAUAAUAAUAAUAAUAAUAAUGGAUAAUUUAAAAUAAAAUAAAUUUAUAUUUUAAUUUAUUGUAUUGGAAUUAAUGAGAGAAAAUUUAUGGUCCUUCUAGCGCAAGAAUGUGUGUGACAACGUGUUGAAUGUUUAUCCACACAAAAUCCAAAAGGAUUCAAGGAUCUUCAACUUCGUCAGUGCCUCUCAUCACUUAUAAAAACACUUCGAUUUCCUUUCUUAGUUACUCCAACUCCGACGUUCGUAGAAAAAGACCAUGUGAACUACCUACGUGCCGCCGUCACCAUCAUGUCACAGCCUCAUUUCCUCCUAGUGACCAUCCCUGCACAAGGCCACAUAAACCCAACCUUACAAUUUGCCAAGCAUCUUAUACGUAUUGGCGUACGUGUAACUUUCAUCACCUGCAUCUCCGCUCGCCACCGCAUGACCAAAGUCCCCACUGCUCAAGGCCUAACGUUUCUACCCUUUUCCGAUGGCUACGAUGACGGUUUUCAACCCGGCGAUGACGUGGACCGUUACCUAUCUGAAUUGAGGCGACGAGGCAAAGAAGCCAUCUCCGAGUUUAUAACAAGCGGUGAAAACGAAGGCAAACCCGUCACUUGCAUUGUCUACACCCUGUUCAUCCAUUGGGCCACGGAGGUGGCGCGUAAACAUCACAUCCCGACAGCUUUACUUUGGAUUCAACCCGCCACCGUUUUUGACAUCUAUUAUUUUUACUUCAACGGAUACGAAUCCACCAUUAAAGCUCAAGCUGAUGAAACAAACCCCAAGCGUUCAAUAAAAUUACCAGGUCUGCCGCUACUCGCCACUAGCGACCUUCCGUCGUUCGUCACCGCUUCAAACGUUUACCGUUGGGGACCGUCGUUGAUCCAAGAACAAAUGGACGUCCUCGCCGAUGAAUACAACCCUAAAAUCCUUGUUAACACAUUCGAUGCUUUGGAACACGAAACAUUAAACGCCAUUGAAAAUUUCAACAUGGUCGGCAUCGGACCUUUAAUCCCAUCUUCUUUCUUGAACUCAAAUGACUCCUUGGAUAAUUCCUUGAGAACCGAUCUUUUUCAAUCCGAUUCAAAAGAUUACUUCCAAUGGUUAGACUCCAAACCAAAAUCGGCUGUCGUUUACGUUUCCUUCGGGAGCAUUGCGGUGUUAACGAAGCAACAAGUGGAGGAAAUCGCUCGAGCUUUAAUAUCCAGCCGGCAACCGUUUUUAUGGGUGGUGAGGAACCGGAAAGAUGGAGGCGAAGAAGAAGAUAAACUGACUUGCAGGGAAGAAUUGGAACAGUUUGGGAGGGUGGUUCCAUGGUGUUCGCAAGUGGAAGUAUUGUCUCAUCCGUCGUUGGGUUGCUUCGUGACGCAUUGUGGGUGGAACUCGACGUUGGAGAGCAUGGUGGCCGGUGUACCGGUGGUGGCUUUCCCUCAAUGGACGGAUCAAUGGACUAAUGCGAAGCUGAUUGAAGAUGUGUGGGGGAAUGGGGUGAGAGUGAGUGCUAAUGAAGAAGGGAUGGUGGAAUGUGAUGAGAUCGUUAGGUGCUUGGAUUUGGUGAUGGGGGAUGAUGAGAAAGGGAUGGAAGUGAAGAAAAAUGUAGAGAAAUGGAAAGGGUUAGCCAGGGAAGCCUCCAUGGAAGGCGGCUCCAUGGAUAUGAAGCUUAAAGCUUUUGUGGAUGAUGUUGCUGAAGCUGGUUGCAAGUAAAUUUAUCAUUUUCAAAUAAAUUCACUGUUAUAAUAGCAGCUAUAAAUAUUGUAACUUCUUUAAUUUCUAAGUUUAUUUCUUUUUCCUUUCCAUCAUCUUUUGUAAAAAAAAAAAAAGUAAGAUUGAAAAGCCGAAACAAAAACUCCUCUUUUUAAGGACCCAAGAGGAGCUGGUCUGUUUAGUCUUUGAGCCCCACCUGUCAAUCUCAAUCUCAAUCAAUGCCACUCACUCGUUUCAUGUCCUAUCCUCGUCUUCCCUUCAUUAAUAUCACUCCACCUUCUAACUUAAUAACUGAUACAUGAUCUCAAAAAAAAAAAGAAAAAAAAAAAACCCAAAGUUUGAAUUCGGUCUAUGAGCUUCCUAAACAAAAUCAGGAUAUGUGAUUAAGCAUGGAUGCUUCCGUUAUCAUAUGGAUUAAGGGUGCCAGUCGGGCUUAUUACGCCCCUCAUCCAACUUUCACCAUUCGAUAUAUGAUUAUAACCUAACCAACAACAGUCAAAUGUGUUGUUGUCGUACCUCUAUCCCUUCAAAAAUCUCUUUACUGUUGCUACCCAUGUCUUCUUUGAUAUAUAUGCAUAUUUUUAACCUUACUGAGCUGUGGACUUCAUUUGAAGUGUAACCAAGUUUUUGCUUUUUUUUCUUUCUUCUUCUUGUGUUUCCUGAAUUUAUAAAUUUUUUUCGAUUGGCUUCUAUUUAUGUUUUUUCAAAGAUUAAUAAUUGAAUUUAAUUAAAAAAUAAUUAAAUUGGUAAAAUAUAUAAAUGUUGAGGACAAACUUCAGUAUUAUCCCUUUUAAUACCUUUCAUCGUACUGGAGCAGGUAUUAUCGUACCAUGAAACUUGAAUAAGCCACCACACAAGUUUAUGCGCAUGUGGUUUUUUCUGGUUGUAUUCUGCUACUAGUCCUUAUACUUUAUGAAAGUGAUGGAUUUAGUCCCAAUACUUCAAUUUAAUCACUUUUAGUCCUGCACUUUUCAAAAUGUUCAAUUUUAGUCCCUAUAUUUUCAGUCUUUUGAAAUUUUCGUCCUAAACCAAAUAAUAGUAGUUCAAUUUGUUUGUUUAAAUUCAAUUACUAGCAUGUAAUUGUAGAUUUAAUAUAUAUUAUCCAUUUUCUUUGCAAAGUCUGUGAAAAACAAAACGGAUUGUUGAGAACAAUCCAAACACUAUCAAACACAGUUUAAAAAAAAAAAAAACAGAACAGCCUAACAUAUACUACUAAGCAGACAAAAACACUUUAACAACAGAUUUCCCCGUUGUAUUCUGCUGCAGAAAAUAGCAGACCAUCCCAGCAGCAUCAUCCAUUCUGCUUCAGCAGCAAAUCACCAAGCAGCUUUAAAGAAGUUUUUCCUUGACAUGCCUGUCUUUGCUAAAGUUUCCGCCAUUCCACUCUUUUUUUGAUUAGUGAUUGCAAACUGGAUUUCGGCAAUAUGUCUACAUCCAUCUUCAAUUUCCGCAAACAACUUCCUUAGCGACCAUGGACGAAGAUUUCUAUAUUUCAACUAAUUCAAUACCGUAUUCAAAUCAAGCUCUAUAAUCAAAGGAAGUUGCACCUUAUGAAACAAAUUUGAAAACAUCUCUAUUGCUACUUUUAUAGCCAUCAGUACUACCAUUUCCAAACCCUCCACUGCACAGUUACCUGAAAAAGAGCUGAAACAACCCCUUUCUCGUCCCGCAACACCCCUCCGCAGCCCGCUCUUUCAUCCAAAGAAACCCCAGCCACAUUAAAUUUCAUCCAACCGCAAGGAGGUGGUUCCCUAUCCAUAACCCGCACAUUCCCCACCCUAUUUAACCAGACUGCUCUUCCUUGGCCACCCCCACCAAUCACUCUCUGUGAAAAUACAUUCCUCAUAGACCACUCUUGCCCAUACAAACGAUCUCAAUUUUGUUUGAUAAAUUAAGUCAAGUGUUGUAGCCUUACCUUCAAACACUUUCUCAUUACGAGAAAUCCAUCCUGACCAACAUGCUGCUGAUACUGCCAGUAACCAUAAACUUUUUUGAAUGCCAGACAAAGACACUCUCCAGCAAAAGGAAAAGAAUUCCUCAAAGUUUGCUACGUCCUUCCAUCUCAACCCCCACCAGCAAAAUAUAAGCGACCAGAAUCUUUUCACAAAGGAGCAUUCAAAAAACAAGUGAUUGGUAGAUUCCGCCACUCUCUCGCACCAUGGACACCCACUAUCCGAAGAGUUGAUAAUAAUUCCUCUACUAAUAAAAAAUUCUUUCGUUGGAACACGAUUAAUCGCCAUCAUCUAUAGGAAGCUACGCUUUCUUGGUGGGACUUUCAAUUUCCAGAUUCUAUCAAACUGAAAUUCUACCGUUCCCAUCCCAUCAUAAGAUAGGAGAGACACAUUCACGACAUUAGUUGCACGCCCAGCUACAAACGAACCUGGCUCGGAUACCAAAAAUGUAGGGAAAAAAUAGUCACAGAAGACUAUUGUCAAACAACGUGUAUGCAAGGAAAAUACUAAACUAUAGAAAAUUUAAAAAGAAAGAAAAGCUGAACUCAAAAUGACUGAAGUUGCUGUAUUAUUCACACACAAAAUGAAAUAAACGUAGGCCUAUAAAUAGCCUUUACACCAUAACAAACUAACGUAAAAAUGUGCAACACUAUUGCACGAUCAUAACAAAAAAUAGAGAAAUAAGGAAAUUAACAAACUAAGCAUAGCACAGCAAAUCUAAAUUUAGAAAAACCGACUUUGAAUCAUUCUCCAACAUCGAAAAUGGUGGAGGGCUGAAUCCAGAGUAAAGUUGACGGGAUGUGAUGUUUACGCGCCACCUCCGUAGCCCAAUGAAGGAGCAAAUAGUAGACAAUGCAAGUGAUGGGUUUACCUUCGUUUUCACUACUUGUUAUAAACUCAGAGAUGGCAUCUCUGCCUCGUCUCUUGAAUUCAGACAUGUAAUUGUCUGUGUCAUUGCCGGGUUUAAUUUCGUCGUCGUAGCUAUCCGAAAAAGGUAAAAACGAUAGGCCUUCAGCAGUGGGGGACUUUGGUCAUGCGACUGAUGACGGAGAUGCUGGUGAUGAAAGUUACACGUGCGUUGAUAGGUACAAGAUGCUUGGCGAAUUGUAAAGUCGGGUUUACGUGGCCUUGUGCAGGAUAGGUCACUACGAUGAAAUGAGGCUGUGACAUGAUGGUGACGGCGGCGAGUGUUGGCGCGUAAUUCGUGAAGGAAAUUAAUGGGUUUUUAUAGUGAAGAGAGGCAUUGAUAAAAGGUGAUGUUUGAGCUGACGAAUUUCAAAGAUUCCUAAACCUUGUUGGACUUAUCUGGUGUUUUUUCAAUGCUUAGGUUGCAGCUUGAUGCAUGAUGCUGUUAGAGAGAGUUUCAUACUACACGACUCUUUGGGGUUUGAAUUUAAUUCACCAAUUACAAUUUUAGUUAAACUAAACCCCAACACUAAACACGUAAGUUCAUAUUUGGUUAAACUACCUACCAAGUUAUCCAUCUAUGCCUAAACAUUUUUUUACUCACUCAAUUUUUUAAACUUUCAAAAUGGUCAUUCAAUUCAUUGGGUUCCAUUUUUUUAUCCAUUUCCAUUAAGCAUCGUUAAAUGCCUGGUAGGGUUAAUUUUUAAAAAUUAUGACUAAAUUGAUACAAUAUGUAAAAUUUGAGGAAAAAAUUUGUUAUUAUACUAAUAUUUAAAUAGUCACUUCAACUUUUUGUCAAACACUUAAUGGAAAUGGACCAAAAAAUAAAUCUGAUUAAUUAUGUGACCAUUUUGAAAGUUUUAAAAGUUGAGUGAAAAAAAAAACUUAAACAUAUUUAAUAGUAUUAAUGUGUCGAACAAUUAAAGUAUCCACUUGUCACAAUAUUAAACCCCACGUAUGAUUGUUUUCUUGAAUAUUGUGUAUAUUAUAUAUGAUAAAAGAUUGUAUAAAAUUAUCAUUCUACGUCAUCCCUAAGAAAAUGAUAAAUUAAAUUUUGUCUCUUACAAAAUUCAAAUUCAACUAAAAAACUAAUAUAGAAUCACAGUUUCAUAUAAACUUUUCUUUUAUAAUAUAUAGGUAUAAUAUAUAUAUUCCAUUUAGCAAUUGUUUUUAACUCUGGUCUUUUAAUUUGUCACAAACAAAAAUUUUGACUUCGAUAUUAAUACUAAAAUAAUAUUUGUCCUUGUAGCGGAAGAAUGUGUGUGACAACGUGAUAAAUAUUUUUCCAAACAAAAUCCAAAAGGAAUUAGGCAUCUUCAAAUUCGUCAGCCCAAACGUCACUGUUUUUCAGUGCCUCUCAUCACUUAUAAAAACACUUUGAUUUCCUUUCUUACUUACUCCAAAUCCGACGUUCGUACAAAAAGACCAGUAGAACUACCUACGUGCCGCCGUCACCACCAUGUCACAGCCUCAUUUCCUCCUAGUGACCUUCCCUGCACAAGGCCACAUAAACCCAACCUUACAAUUUGCCAAGCAUCUUAUACGUAUUGGCGUACGUGUAACUUUCAUCACCUGCAUCUCCGCUCGCCGCCGCAUGACCAAAGUCCCCACUGCUCAAGGCCUAACGUUUUUACCCUUUUCCGAUGGCUACGACGACGGUUUUCAACCCGGCGAUGACAUAGAACAUUACCUAUCUGAAUUGAGGAGACGAGGCAAAGAAGCCAUCUCCGAGUUUAUAACAAGCAGUGAAUACGAAGGCAAACCCGUCACUUGCAUUGUCUACACCCUGUUCAUCCAUUGGGCCUCGGAGGUGGCGCGUAAACAUCACAUCCCGACAGCUUUACUUUGGAUUCAACCCGCCACCGUUUUCGACAUCUAUUAUUUUUACUUCAACGGGUACGAAUCCACCAUUAAAGCUCCAGUUGAUGAAACAAACCCAAAGCGUUCAAUAAAAUUACCAGGUCUGCCGCUACUCGCCACCCGCGACCUUCCGUCGUUCGUCACCGCUUCAAACGUUUACCGUUGGGCACUGUCGUUGUUCCAAGAACAAAUGGAUAUCCUCGCUGAUGAAUCCAACCCCAAAAUCCUUGUUAACACCUUCGAUGCUUUGGAACAAGAAGCAUUAAAUGCCAUUGAAAAUUUCAACAUGGUCGGCAUCGGACCUUUAAUCCCAUCUUCUUUCUUGAACUCAAAUGACUCCUUGGAUAAUUCCUUGAGAACCGAUCUUUUUCAAUCCGAUUCAAAAGAUUACAUCCAAUGGUUAGACUCCAAACCAAAAUCGGCCGUCGUUUACGUUUCCUUCGGGAGCAUUGCGGUGUUAACCAAGCAACAAGUGGAGGAAAUCGCUCGAGCUUUAAUAGCCAGCCGGCGACCGUUUUUAUGGGUGGUGAGGAACUGGAAAGAUGGAGUCGAAGAAGAGAAAGAAGAAGAAAAACUGACUUGGAGGGAAGAAUUGGAACGGUUUGGGAUGGUGGUUCCAUGGUGUUCGCAAGUGGAAGUAUUGUCUCAUCCGUCGUUGGGUUGUUUCGUGACGCAUUGUGGGUGGAACUCGACGUUGGAGAGCAUGGUGGCCGGUGUACCGGUGGUGGCUUUCCCUCAAUGGACGGAUCAAGGGACUAAUGCGAAGCUGAUUGAAGAUGUGUGGGGGAAUGGGGUGAGAGUGAGUGCUAAUGAAGAAGGGAUGGUGGAACGUGAUGAGAUCGUUAGGUGCUUGGAUUUGGUGAUGGGGGAUGAUGAGAAAGGGAUGGAAGUGAAGAAAAAUGUAGAGAAAUGGGAAGGGUUAGCCAGGGAAGCCUCCAUGGAAGGCGGCUCCAUGGAUAUGAACCUUAAAGCUUUCGUGGAUGAUGUUGCUCAAGGUUGUUGGAAGUAAAUUUAUCAUUUUCAAAUCAAUUCACUGUUAUAAUAGCAGCUAUAAAUAUUGUGAUAGCAACAAUAUCAAUUCACUGUUGCAAAUAAAUUUUUAAUUUGUGUUUGUAUUAAAUGUAUGCUUUAAUUAAUUUUGGUGUAACGUUUAAGUUUUUUUAAAGAUUAAUAAUUAAAUUUGGGUAAAAUCAAAAAAUUUGGUUAACCGAUUGGAUUCGGUUAAUCGGUUGGUUAAUUAAAUUUUUUCGGUGAAGAGUCGAUUAAUUAUUUUCUCAUUUUCCGGUUAACGGCUAAUUCAGUUCGAAACCGGUCGGUUAACUGAAUUGUUUUGAUUUAAUCGAAAAAUUAAUAAAUAAAAUUAUAAUAUAUAAAUAGGCUCACUAUUCACCUAAGUCCAACCCAAACCCAAGUAUCCAACCUAACCCAAUCAAAUCAUAAAAAUUACAGAUAAUUUAUGUAUUAAUUUCAAGACUUAUGUAAUGUUUUUAAUUAUGUAGUGAUUCAAUUCGGUUAAUUCGGGUAAUUCGAGUAAUUCGGUUAAUUCGGGUAAUUUGGGUAAUUCGAUUAAUUUUUAACCAAAAAUAAAAAAUAUAUGAUUUUCGGUUAAUUUGGUUAACCGACUGAAUUAACCGAAAAGUUUUUGAUUCGGUUAGUUUUUAUUUUUUUAAAAUUCGAUUCAGUUAAUAGUUAAAAAUAUUGAAAGUUCAAUUAAUUCAAUUAAUAUUUUUUCGAGUCAGUGAACUGACUGAACACCCCUAGUAGCGGAGUAGGUAUUAUCAUACGAAUGAUAAGCCACCACACAAGUUUAUGCGGAUGUGGUUUUCUUGGUUUAAUUUUGCCACAAGUCCCUAUACUUUAUAAAAGUUAUGGAUUUAGUUCCGUUAUUUCAAUUUGAUCACUUUAGUCCUGCACUUUUCAAAAUGUUCAAUUUUAGUCCCUAUACUUUUAAACUUUUGAAAUUUUCAUCCUUAACCAAAAAAUAGUAGUUAAAUUUGUUUGUUUAAUUUCAAUUCCUAGAAAUGUACUAUACAUAUAAUUGUAGAUUUAAUAUAUAUUCUCCAACUGAAUCAUUUUAAGUCCCUAUUUUUUUCGAAUUCUAAAAUUUCCGUCUCAAUACAAAUGAUAGUCACCGAUCCAUUAACUAAAAUUUUAGUAAGUAAUAUGUGAAAAUAGCCAACUAAAAUGCUAGUACACACAUGAUGAUAUGUUUAUUGCAUCAAAUUUUAAAAAUAACAGAAUUUAAUGAAUUUAACAAUUAUUGUUUAGUGAUGACUUUUAAAAUUUAGAAAGUAUGAGCAUUAAAAGUGACCAAAUUAAUGUAUAAUUAAGAAUUAGAUCCACAACUUUUGUAAAGUAAGACUAAUAAUAAAAUUUAAUCUUGUUUUUUUCUUGAAAGAAAUUAAAAGUGACCAUUUAAGUAUUAUAUGUGCUAGGGAUGGGAGAUUAAUACGAAUCGUGGGAUGGAUUUUAAAUAGUUCGAAUUUUUUUUUUGUGUGUGUGGACAAUGAGUAAUUCUUUGCCCUAUAUAAAAGUAUCAUUUUAUCCAUUUAAUAUGUAUAACUAUUUAAAUGGUGAAAUACGAAAAUGCAUUAUAGAAAAGCCUUUAUGUUUAAUUUUUUUGAAACUGUUGUGGAAAACCUUAAAUGUGGUUAAUUGCCUUGCAAACCCUCCUUAUUUAUUAUUUUCUUUUUAUUCCCCUUCAACUCACUACAUUGUGUUUCAACAAGCUCUUAACCUAUUUUUGUAGUUAAAUAGGCCCUUAACUUAUGAUUUUUACUCAUAAAAUCUCUUUGUUUUAAUACUAAAGUAAAUAUGUUUUACUCAUAUUAAAGGGCUUUUUAGUAUUUUAGCCUAGACUGUAUGUUGUUGAACCUGGCACCUGCAUUGUAGAAAUUUUUUGAUUAUUUUCAAUGCUUAAGAACCAAUGAAAACAUAGAUGGAAGGCUAAUAUACUAAAAAGUGCUUAAACUAUUACACUUUGUUUAAGUAAGCUUUUGUACUAUUUUUGUCGUUAAAUAGGCCCUCAAACUAUGAUUUUUACCCAUGAAAGUCCUAAAUUUUAAUAUUAAAGUAAAACUAUUUAAAAAAUAUAUAAAUUAAUUCGCAUUUUAUGUUGAUGUGAAUUUGAUGAGAAGAGUUUAUUAAAUAAAAAAUUAAAAAUUAAAAAUUGUUGAGAGUGCUUAUAUGCAUGACAUGCUUAAUUACUAUUCUGAAAUUGCUGAUUACUUUUUUAGAUUUUAUGUUUAUGUUAAAGUGUAUAUAAUUUUUAUUGCAUCAACAAGAAAUUAAGAUAAGAGCUUGAAAUUCAAAAUAUAUUUACUUUAAUAUUAAAAUAAAAGGCUUUUAUGAGUAAAACUCAUAGGUUAAGAGUUUAUUUAACUACAAAAUUAAGUUAAGGGCUUGUUUAAACACAACCUAGUGAGUUGAAGGGGAAUAAAAAAUAAAAUAUAUAACGAGGGUUUACAAGGCAAUUAGCCACAUCUAAGCGGCACCCUUUCACUUCUUUUUCGUAGUCACUUAAAAUGGAAAAUUUGCAUUUUAAAUCCCUAAAUACUUUAAAUUAUUACAUUUCAGUCUGAUACAAAACAGUACAGUAACAAACAUGCCAUUUUGAUGUAUGUAUAUAUAUACUCGUUUUGCUAUUGUUUUUGACUUCGACUUUUAAUUGGUCACAAAAUUUUUGGAUAAUUUUUUUUAAAAUAAUUAUUUUAGUCCUUGCAGAGCAAGACAGCGGGAUGAAUGGUUUUCCACAAAAUCCAAAAGGAAUUAGGCAUCUUCAAAUUCGUCAGCGCAAACGUCACUGUUUUUCAGUGCCUCUCAUCACUUAUAAAAACACUUCGAUUUCCUUUCUUAGUUACUCCAAAUCCGACGUUCGUAAAAAAAGACCAGGUGAACUACCUACGAGCCGCCGUCACCACCAUGUCACAGCCUCAUUUCCUCCUAGUGACCUUCCCUGCACAAGGCCACAUAAACCCAACCUUACAAUUUGCCAAGCAUCUUAUACGUAUUGGCGUACGUGUAACUUUCGUCACCUGCAUCUCGGCUUGCCGCCGCAUGACCAAAGUCCCCACUGCUCAGGGCCUAACGUUUUUACCCUUUUCCGAUGGCUACGACGACGGUUUUCAACCCGGCGAUGACAUAGAACAUUACCUAUCUGAAUUGAGGCGACGAGGCAAAGAAGCCAUCUCCGAGUUUAUAACAAGCAGUGAAAACGACGGCAAAUCCGUCACUUGCAUUGUCAACACCCUGUUCAUCCAUUGGGCCUCGGAGGUGGCGCGUAAACAUCACAUCCCGACAGCUUUACUUUGGAUUCAACCCGCCACCGUUUUCGACAUCUAUUAUUUUUACUUCAACGGAUACGAAUCCACCAUUAAAGCUCCUGUUGAUGAAACAAACCCCAAGCGUUCAAUAAAAUUACCAGGCCUGCCGCUACUCGCCACUCGCGACCUUCCGUCGUUCGUCACCGCUUCAAACGUUUACCGUUGGGCACUGUCGUUGUUCCAAGAACAAAUGGAUGUCCUCGCUGAUGAAUCCAACCCCAAAAUCCUUGUUAACACAUUCGAUGCUUUGGAACACGAAGCAUUAAACGCCAUUGAAAAUUUCAACAUGGUAGGCAUCGGACCUUUAAUCCCAUCUUCUUUCUUGAACUCAAAUGACUCCUUGGAUAAUUCCUUGAGAACCGAUCUUUUUCAAUCCGAUUCAAAAGAUUACAUCCAAUGGUUAGACUCCAAACCAAAAUCGGCCGUCGUUUACGUUUCCUUCGGGAGCUAUGCUGUGUUAACGAAGCAACAAGUGGAGGAAAUCGCUCGAGCUUUAAUAUCCAGCCGGCGAC
rnacentral:lncRNA from 1 species